CAACCCAUUCUCUCUCUCUCUCUCUCUCUCUCUCUCUCUCUCUCUCUCUCUCGUUGUGCUUCCACAACCAUAUAUCUUGGCCCUCUUCCCCUUCAACCACAACCCCAACCCCAGGAAGAACAAAAGCCAGAAACCAGAGUCUGAAAUUACGAUCCUACCCUACCAUCUUCUCUCCACCGCCUCCUCUCUAUACCUCUCCUCUCUCCUCUCCUAUAACCCUCCAUCCCUUCUUCCUCACUUUUCCUAUAAAUGCCCCAAAAUCCCUUCCCUAAUCUCCUCCCUCUCCUCCAAUCUCUCCCCUCCCCAUCCCUCAGAUCUUCUACCUUCAAAUUCUCGCCGUCCAUCAUCGACCUCCAGUCCCCGCUCUCCGUGUCCCACCUCCACGUCCCUGAUCCGUCCUAUCCGCCCUCCGUCGAAUUUCGGAGGGUUUAGGGAGAGAGUGGAGGGUUUGGAAGUGAGGAAGACAAUCGAGGCGCUGGAUCAGUUGAGGGGCCUUCUGAGGAGAUGCGAUGUUGAGGCUGGGGAGAUUCCGAGCUUGGUGGAUCUUGGCUCGGCCCAACCGCGACGAUGGCUCAGGUCAAUUAUUGGAUGGCUAGGAUUGCACAAUGGUGGAUGUUCGUGCAGCUUCACCCUUCAAUGGUGGGGUGCCCCUCGGGAUGAUCAGCCUUGAUUUCUGAGAGGUGGGCCCCACUUGAUCAGUGUUGGCCAGAAUGGGAGCAUUGGUAAUUUAUGCGAGCAUUGAAUAUUCCUUCUUAUCUUAUUGAAAUGCAUGGAGAAGGGCGGCGAUCUCCCUCAGGAAACCAGACUAUGGGAGUUCACUGGGACGAUUUGAAAUCCUAUCACUUUCUGGCUCAUUUCUUCUCUUGGAAAGUGGUGGACAACACAGCCAAACAGGUGGAUUGAGUGUAUACCUGGCUGGUCCUGAUGGCCGUGUUUUAGGUGGAGUGGCCAGACUUCUAACAGCAGCAUCCCUAGUCCAGGUCUGUCUAACUUUUAACUACACCUGCUUUUGUUGGCGUUUCAUUUUCCACGCGAAUCUGCUAAGAAACUCUUUGAGGUUUAAAUCUAUAUAAUGUAUGAUUUUACAAAGCAUAAUGGUCUUAG